GGAUAACCUGCCCUGGAGAUGGGGAUAAACCCGGGAAACUGGGUAUAAUACCCAAUAGAUCUCGACUGCUGGAAUGCAUCGAGCUCCAAAGCUCCGGCGCUCAAGGAUGGAUCUGCGGCCUAUCAGGUAGUAGUGGGUGUAGCGUACCUACUAGCCUACGACGGGUACGGGUUGUGAGAGCAAGAGCCCGGAGAUGGAUUCUGAGACACGAAUCCAGGCCCUACGGGGUGCAGCAGGCGCGAAAACUUUACAAUGCUGGAAACAGCGAUAAGGGGACCUCGAGUGCCAGGUUACAAAUCUGGCUGUCGUGAUGCCUAAAAAGCAUUGCAUAGCAAGGGCCGGGCAAGACCGGUGCCAGCCGCCGCGGUAACACCGGCGGCUCGAGUGGUAACCGUUAUUAUUGGGUCUAAAGGGUCUGUAGCCGGCCGGAUAAGUCUCUUGGGAAAUCUGGCAGCUUAACUGUCAGGCUUUCAGGAGAUACUGUCUGGCUCGAGGCCGGGAGAGGUGAGAGGUACUUCAAGGGUAGGGGUGAAAUCUUGUAAUCCUUGAAGGACCACCAGUGGCGAAGGCGUCUCACUAGAACGGAUCCGACGGCAAGGGACGAAAGCUAGGGGCACGAACCGGAUUAGAUACCCGGGUAGUCCUAGCCGUAAACGAUA
rnacentral:rRNA from 1 species